UUAAAAAUUAAUUUUUUUUUAUAAAUUUAUUUUAUAAUUUAAAGUAUAAAUAAAAUUUUAAAAAAAAUUAUAUAAAAUUUAAAUAAUUUAAUAAUAUAUAAAUUAAUAUUUAUAAUAAUUAAUUAAAUGAAAAUUUAUAAUAGAAAAUUAUAAUUUAUUAUUAAUAAAUAAAGUGCCAGCAAUUGCGGUUAUACUUUAAAUAAAAAUAAAUUAAAAUAAUUAUAAAUAUAUAUAAAAUAUAUAAAAUAAAUAAUAUUUAACUAAUUUAUUUUUUUAUGGUGAAAUAUAGAUAAAUAUUAAAAGUUAGAUAAUUUUAUUUAAUGAAUAAUAAAAUUAAAAAAAUUUAUUUAAUAAACUAGGAUUAGAUACCCUAUUAUUUAAAUGAAAAUAAAAUAUAAUUAAAUAUUAAAUGUUAAUCAUUAAAAAUAAAAAAUUUGGCGGUAUUUUAUGAUUUAGAGGAACUUGUUAAUUAAUUUGAUAACCCACGAAUGGAACUACUUAAUUUAAUUUUUAUAUAUUGUUGUUGAAAAAUUAUAUUAAAAGAUUAAUAAUUUAAAAAUUUAAUUAUAAUUAUAAUUCAAAUCAAAAUGUAGAAUAAUUAAGAUUUAAAUGAGUUACAUUUAAUUUUAAUUAAUUGAAAUAAAUUUUUAAAAUUUUAUAAAUAUUGAAUUUAAUUGUAAAUUUAAAAAAAUAUUUAAAUUGAAUUUUAAUUAAAAUAUGUACAAAUUGCCCGUCAUUUUCAUUAAUAAAAAUUUAUGGAAAAAGUCGUAACAAAGUAAAUAUAUUGGAAAAUGUAUUUAGAAUGAA
rnacentral:ncRNA from 1 species